AUUGAACGCUGGCGGCAUGCCUUACACAUGCAAGUCGAACGGUAACGGGCCUUCGGGUGCCGACGAGUGGCGAACGGGUGAGUAAUACAUCGGAACGUGCCCGAUCGUGGGGGAUAACGAGGCGAAAGCUUUGCUAAUACCGCAUACGAUCUACGGAUGAAAGCAGGGGACCGCAAGGCCUUGCGCGGACGGAGCGGCCGAUGGCAGAUUAGGUAGUUGGUGGGAUAAAAGCUUACCAAGCCGACGAUCUGUAGCUGGUCUGAGAGGAUGAUCAGCCACACUGGGACUGAGACACGGCCCAGACUCCUACGGGAGGCAGCAGUGGGGAAUUUUGGACAAUGGGCGCAAGCCUGAUCCAGCCAUGCCGCGUGCAGGAUGAAGGCCUUCGGGCUGUAAAAUGCUUUUGUACGGAACGAAAAGCCUUCUUUUAAUACAGGAGGGUCAUGACGGUACCGUAAGAAUAAGCACCGGCUAACUACGUG
rnacentral:rRNA from 1 species